GCAGAUGUGGCCGAGUGAUUAAGGCGACUGACUAGAAAUCAGUUUCCUUCUGGGUGGGUUCGAAUCCUACCAUCUGCG